rnacentral:sRNA from 1 species
ACGAGAUGCCUCUCUGACUGGGUGAAUAGGACCUUAGACAAGCUCUAUUCUUCCUGGUCAGAGGGGCAUUUCUAUGUCACGACGCUCGCUCAGAACCCAAGCUCAUCGGUGAAUCGAG